ACAGUCGAUGUUUGCGCGAACAAGUUCGCCGGCGAACAGUCCGCGACAUCCCUAUUUAUUACAUCAUCAGUAACACUUCUGCCCUUUUUCUUUCCCCCAGGAGUAAUAAAUUUAUUUUUAAAUGUCUUCAGAAGGAUCCAGCCAAAAGACCAUUUGCAAAGGAACUCCUAUUCCACCGAUUCAUCACAUAUAAUCGAGAUGAAGAGGAGGUGCAAUAUAGCAUAGCAGAGCAUACAGUAUAAAGAAAGAAGCAAAGAAAUAAGACCUUCAAGCAAAAUAUUCUCUUGCAACACCUCAUUAAGAAGACUUUGUCAAGACUUAGGAAGGAAAUGGAAGAACAAUAUAUAAAUCCAAAAAUGGAUUCUACCCUUGCAAUAUCUGAAAUGUGGCUCCUUCAUUAUGUUCCCAUAAGGGAAAGGAAGGAAAGGGUUGGGAACACAAUAUAGGAGCCACAGCCCAUCUACUUUGGAUACUUUACCAAAUGUUUAUUUUUAUAUAAUCUAUUUAAAUGUAUAUAUAUAUUUAUAUAUUAAUAAAAAUAAUAAGCUGA